UCAGAUUGAACGCUGGCGGAAUGCUUUACACAUGCAAGUCGAACGGCAGCACGGACUUCGGUCUGGUGGCGAGUGGCGAACGGGUGAGUAAUGUAUCGGAACGUGCCCAGUCGUGGGGGAUAACGUAGUGAAAAUUACGCUAAUACCGCAUACGAUCUAUGGAUGAAAGCGGGGGAUCGCAAGACCUCGCGCGAUUGGAGCGGCCGAUAUCAGAUUAGGUAGUUGGUGGGGUAAAGGCCCACCAAGCCAACGAUCUGUAGCUGGUCUGAGAGGACGACCAGCCACACUGGAACUGAGACACGGUCCAGACUCCUACGGGAGGCAGCAGUGGGGAAUUUUGGACAAUGGGCGAAAGCCUGAUCCAGCCAUUCCGCGUGCAGGAUGAAGGCCCUCGGGUUGUAAACUGCUUUUGUACAGAACGAAAAGGUUUCUACUAAUACUAGGAGCUCAUGACGGUACUGUAAGAAUAAGCACCGGCUAACUACGUGCCAGCAGCCGCGGUAAUACGUAGGGUGCAAGCGUUAAUCGGAAUUACUGGGCGUAAAGCGUGCGCAGGCGGUUAUAUAAGUCAGAUGUGAAAUCCCCGGGCUCAACCUGGGAACUGCAUUUGAGACUGUAUAGCUAGAGUACGGCAGAGGGGGAUGGAAUUCCGCGUGUAGCAGUGAAAUGCGUAGAUAUGCGGAGGAACACCGAUGGCGAAGGCAAUCCCCUGGGCCUGUACUGACGCUCAUGCACGAAAGCGUGGGGAGCAAACAGGAUUAGAUACCCUGGUAGUCCACGCCCUAAACGAUGUCAACUGGUUGUUGGGUCUUAACUGACUCAGUAACGAAGCUAACGCGUGAAGUUGACCGCCUGGGGAGUACGGCCGCAAGGUUGAAAC
rnacentral:rRNA from 1 species